rnacentral:rRNA from 1 species
AGAGUUUGAUCCUGGCUCAGAUUGAACGCUGGCGGUAUGCUUAACACAUGCAAGUCGAACGGUAACGGUCCUUCGGGAGCCGACGAGUGGCGGACGGGUGAGUAACGCGUAGGAAUCUGCCUGGUAGUGGGGGACAACUCGGAGAAAUCCGAGCUAAUACCGCAUACGCCCUGAGGGGGAAAGCGGGGGAUCUUCGGACCUCGCGCUAUCAGAUGAGCCUGCGUUGGAUUAGCUAGUUGGUGGGGUAAAGGCCUACCAAGGCGACGAUCCAUAGCUGGUCUGAGAGGACGAUCAGCCACACUGGGACUGAGACACGGCCCAGACUCCUACGGGAGGCAGCAGUGGGGAAUAUUGGACAAUGGGCGCAAGCCUGAUCCAGCAAUACCGCGUGUGUGAAGAAGGCCUGAGGGUUGUAAAGCACUUUCAAUAGGGAGGAAAAAGCGUUGGUUAAUAGCCGAUGCCUUGACAUUACCUAUAGAAGAAGCACCGGCUAACUCCGUGCCAGCAGCCGCGGUAAUACGGAGGGUGCGAGCGUUAAUCGGAAUUACCGGGCGUAAAGCGUGCGUAGGCGGUUAUUUAAGUCAGAUGUGAAAGCCCCGGGCUUAACCUGGGAACGGCAUUUGAUACUGGGUAACUUGAGUUUAGGAGAGGAGAGUGGAAUUUCCGGUGUAGCGGUGAAAUGCGUAGAGAUCGGAAGGAACACCAGUGGCGAAGGCGGCUCUCUGGCCUAAAACUGACGCUGAGGUACGAAAGCGUGGGUAGCAAACAGGAUUAGAUACCCUGGUAGUCCACGCCGUAAACGAUGUCAACCAGCCGUUGGGUCUUUAUUAAGACUUAGUGGUGCAGCUAACGCAUUAAGUUGACCGCCUGGGGAGUACGGCC